UCCACACUGUAAACGAUGGGGCGUACAGAGAGUUGCGAUACCGCGAGGUGGAGCCAAUCUCAUAAAGCGUCUCUCAGUUCGGAUAGCAGUCUGCAACUCGACUGCUUGAAGCUGGAAUCACUAGUAAUCGUAGAUCAGCAAUGCUACGGUGAAUACGUUCCCGGGUCUUGUACUCACCGCCCGUCACACCAUGGGAGUUGAUUUCACCCGAAAUUGGGAAGCUAACCUUCGGGAGGCUACCACUUACGGUGGAAUUAGCGACUGGGG
rnacentral:rRNA from 1 species